rnacentral:rRNA from 1 species
GACGAACGCUGGCGGCGCGUCUAAGACAUGCAAGUCGAGCGAUUAAAGCCCCCGUUCGGGGGGUGUAUAAAGCGGCGGACGGGUGAGUAACACGUAGCUAACCUGCCCUUUGGAUCGGGAUAACAGUUCGAAAGGACUGCUAAUACCGGGUGCGACGGUUGACCGCAGGGUUGGCCGUGAGAGCGGCCCUUAAAAGCCGCGUCCAAAGGAGGGGGCUGCGGCCUAUUAGCUAGUUGGUGAGGUAACGGCUCACCAAGGCAGCAAUGGGUAGCUGAUCUGAGAGGAUGAUCAGCCACACUGGGACUGAGACACGGCCCAGACUCC